rnacentral:rRNA from 1 species
AUACGUAGGGUGCGAGCGUUGUCCGGAAUUACUGGGCGUAAAGAGCUCGUAGGUGGUUUGUCGCGUCGUCUGUGAAAUUCCGGGGCUUAACUCCGGGCGUGCAGGCGAUACGGGCAUAACUUGAGUACUGUAGGGGAGACUGGAAUUCCUGGUGUAGCGGUGAAAUGCGCAGAUAUCAGGAGGAACACCGGUGGCGAAGGCGGGUCUCUGGGCAGUAACUGACGCUGAGGAGCGAAAGCAUGGGUAGCGAACAGGAUUAGAUACCCUGGUAGUCCAUGCCGUAAACGGUGGGCGCUAGGUGUAGGGGUCUUCCACGACUUCUGUGCCGUAGCUAACGCAUUAAGCGCCCCGCCUGGGGA